rnacentral:rRNA from 1 species
CAAACCCCUCGGUGCCCGAAGUUACCACAAUAAGCAUUCCACUCGGGGAGUAGGCUCUCAAGAGUGAAACUCAAAGGAAUGACGGGGACCCGCACAAGCAGUGGAGUAUGUGCUUUAAUUCGAAGCAACCCCACGAACCUUACCAGGUCUUGACAUCCCCCUGAAUCACGUAGAGAUAGGUGCGGCAUUCGGGACAGGGGAGACAGGUGGUGCAUGGUUGUCGUCAGCUCGUGUCGUGAGAUGUUGGGUUAAGUCCCGCAACGAGCGCAACCCUUGAAUUCAGUUGCCAGCACGUAAGGGUGGGCACUCUGAAUUGACUGCCGGUGACAAACCGGAGGAAGGCGGGGAUGACGUCAAAUCAUCAUGCCCCUUAUGACCUGGGCUACACACGUACUACAAUGGCCGGUACAACGGGCCGCGAAGCCGCGAGGCGGAGCCAAUCCUUAAAAGCCGGUCUCAGUUCGGAUUGCAGGCUGCAACUCGCCUGCAUGAAGUCGGAAUUGCUAGUAAUCGCGGAUCAGCAUGCCACGGUGAAUACGUUCCCGGGUCUUGUACACACCGCCCGUCACACCACGAGAGUUUACAACACCCGAAGUCGGUGGGGUAACCCGCAAGGGAGCCAGCCGCCGAAGGUGGGGUAGAUGAUUGGGGUGAAGUCGUAACAAGGUA